rnacentral:rRNA from 1 species
CGCGCGCUACACUGACGGAGCCAGCGAGUACUGGCGCAAGCCUUCCUUGGCCGAAAGGUCCGGGUAAUCUUGGGAAACUCCGUCGUGCUGGGGAUAGUCCUUUGCAAUUAUCGGACUUGAACGAGGAAUUCCUAGUAAGCGCGGUUCAUCAGAUCGCGUUGAUUACGUCCCUGCCCUUUGUACACACCGCCCGUCGCUACUACCGAUUGAAUGGCUUAGUGAGACCCUCGGAUUGGCGUAUGGCUGCCGGCAACGGCUGGCUGUAUGCCGAGAAGUUGGUCAAACUUGGUCAUUUAGAGGAAGUAAAAGUCGUAACAAGGUAUCCGUAGGUGAACCUGCGGAUGGAUCAUUAACGA